AAGGCCAGUCUCACUCCCACCAUGCUCCCUGAACAGCACUGAGUUUAUUUCCAGGUAGCUGGUGAGCUACCCCAGGCUCAGAACUUGCCCCAGGCCACAAGCCUCCCGCUGAAAAAGCAAGCCGAUUCACAGUUCCUCCACUGUCCCACAGAGCCUGCAGAGCAAUCCACCUCCUUCAAAGUGUCUGUGGAUUCCUUCGGCUUUCCUGAUAAAGUCGUGACUAUAUGAAUUGAUAUUGUUGAUACUGUAGAAGCUAAGAGCAGUGCCUCGCCUAUAGAUAGCAAGAAAAUGAACACAUCAGUACUAUACUUGCAAGGCACCUAUUCUGCAAUUAACUGGAAUGAAUUGGGAAGCAGACCCUGAGCCCAGGACUUCGCAAAGCUGCCAUGGAAGAAUAAUGGCUUCUCUCUUUUCCAUCAUCCUAGUCUACAUUUGGCCAUUCAUUGGUGGAAUCUGACAAAAACUCUCCUGGUAGUUGCUGCAUCAACAUUUUCUGUGUUAAAAUAAUCUACAGUAAUACUGCAUUUUACACUGUGACUUCAUAUCCAGUGGUAUCUCACUGAUAGAAAUGUCUUCUCACUGUUCUUCCUGCUUGUAUUGCCCAACAUUUCCACUCCACCACCAUUCCUGCU